CUUGGGCUACACACGUGCUACAAUGGCGUAAACAAAGGGAAGCAAUCCCGCGAGGGGGAGCAAAUCUCAAAAAUAACGUCUCAGUUCGGACUGUAGUCUGCAACUCGACUACACGAAGCUGGAAUCGCUAGUAAUCGCGAAUCAGAAUGUCGCGGUGAAUACGUUCCCGGGUCUUGUACACACCGCCCGUCACACCAUGGGAGUUGGUAAUGCCCGAAGUCAGUGACCCAACCGCAAGGAGGGAGCUGCCGAAGGCAGGACUGAUAACUGGGGUGAAGUCGUAAC
rnacentral:rRNA from 1 species